rnacentral:snRNA from 1 species
GUGUUCACUUCUGUAGCACAUACACUAAAAUUGGAAUGAUACAGAGAAGAUUAGUAUGGCCCCUGUGCAAGAAUGACAUGCAAAUUUGUGAAACAUUUCAUAUUUUU